CUUUAGGAGCACAUACAGCUAUACUAAGAUUGAAAGAGUACAGAGAAGAUUAGUAUGGCACCUGAACAGCAAUGAUAUGCAAAUUUGUAAGUCGUUCCCUUAUUUU